AUGGAAGGCAGGCAGACCGGCAGCCUGAGGCGGCAGCGGCUUUAGCGAGGGCUUGUUCUUGGGGAAGGAGCCCCUCCGUGCCGGAGCAGGACGAGGGGCCCCGUUAACGCCGCCAGGAAGCGACCCGGGAGGCGCCACCAGCAUGGGCGAAAGUGCGUCCAGGCGGGGAGCCUCAGUGUGUGGGACAUUCCUUCUACCUGGGCUUUCCCGAGCCUGCGGGAUGGGGCUCUGCCUGAGGAACCAGAGGAAAGAGAAAUGUGAGUUAGAAGCCUUGCGAAGUAGUUUAUACACAUCGUGAUUUUAUACCUUUAAAACGCGUAAGUUUACCCUCAGAAAUGCCUCACAAAUAAACGUGGUGCGACAUUUAAUGCAAAUAAAUGACAAAUCCUUAAGUAUUCCUUCUAAAGAAAGAUAAGUUUAGCUUCACUUUCAGGGUAAUCAGACUUAACGCAGAAGGGUAAUCUAACAUGUCAUUCCAAGAGCAUAAAAUUAACAUCUGGGAAUGGGACUGAUGUGUAUAUUUUCUACAUUGUACCUGGAGAUGUUAGAUCUCCUGCCUUUCACCAGUGCAGAUAACUGGUUUUUCAAACAGGGAAAUAACCAAUGAUAAAUAUCUUGGAAGAGUUUUUUGAAUCUUUGUUUUAAAAUAUCCUGCAAAAUGUGCGAUAUGAGUAUUUUUCAGAGUAAUUUAACAGAAUCAUCAAUGAGAAAUGUUGGACAGUAAGCAAAUGAAAUUCAACAAAUCUGAUUAUGAGUUUAUAAGACUAUGAAAUAAAAAUGCAAAUAUACUACAAUCUUUGUUUCAUUUUGAGACAUUUUUAACAUAGUUUACUUACUUUAUAUUUAUUAGAGAGACAAACACAAAUACUUGUCUCAAGCUGGACUUAAUGAUUUAGAAAAUGUAAAGUUUCAGAAACUUUUCUGAGAAUGUUCUUUUAAUGUCUCACCAGAACCAAAAAAAAAACCCAACAUAUUUUUAAACUAGGAGGAAAUUUUCAGUUUGUUUACAUAAAGUAAACCAAAAUAAUAAACAUAUGUUCUUUCAGGGAAGAACUGCUGCACAAUAACUGGGAAAUAUGUGGUUUUGAGCAGCUGAAGUCUUGUAGUGGGCCUGUCCCACUGACCCCCUAGGAAUCCUACCAGUGCUCAGCUUGUCUAUGGAAUGUGACUGAGUGUUGUGGGGUCUUUGCAAUUCAUUUUUGCACUUGGAUAAUAAAAAUAAGAUGUUUCUUAUUGUUAUUACUGUCUUCAGGUUUUUGGUUCUCAUAUCUGUUUCCUGUCCCACACUUCAGGUAUCUAUUCUUGGGUUUGUUUUCAGCUGCCCAAAUAUAUCCUGAAAACGAACCAAAAUCAGUUAACAUAAACCAUGCAAAAAAACUUCAUAACUGUCAGUGUAAGUGAGUUCAAAUUGUUCUGCAAAUGUUCAUUGUACAAAGCAUUACCAGGAAGCUGGUGUCAUUGAAAAAUAACUGGUUUGGACUGUUUGAAAAAUUCGGCUUUGAUUUUAUGGCAAUAAGAUCAUUUAAGUGUUGUGCAGUGAAUGUAUUUAUUUGAAUAUAUCGCUAUAUUUUCUGAAACUAAUGCAUCUGAUUCCAGCAAAACUUCCCAAUUCACUCAAAUUUUAAUUCCUUACUCCUCAAAACACCUUCACGUAAGUAGUGUCUCCAGUUUUAACUUCUGUGCAUGUAAAACUUCUGGAUGCUAGUUAACCUUUCUACAGGCUAUGGAAUCUCCUGCAAAGAGACCUGUGUCAAAAAUAGCAGUUGAAGGUAUGUGCAUCACUGAUGUUCCAAGUUGUGUCUCAUGUAAAAUAUAUUUAGCCAUCCUGGGUUAGCGUGGAGGAGGCCUCGUUGUUGGCUCACGUUCCCAGUGUGCUGUUUUGCAGUUUCCUAAUAAAUAACAGUCUUUGCCUGAAAGGCCUCACAGUCUAAGCCUCCAGCUUAGCACAGGGUUACAUGAAUGCUGAAACCUGCUACUUUGAACAGCCCCAUUCUUGGAAGGGAAUGCUUUCAGAACUGUCUGUUCUUAUUUUCUUUAAAAGCAAAAAGGGGAGUUUGUGGCUGCGUAGUGGAUUUGUAUGAAAGCUCCCAUAGUAACACUGUCCAGUGUUGCCCUUCUUUGAACAGUCUACUUGGGCUUUACAUGAGCAGUAAAUUCAGCUCCUCCAGGAUGAAGUUAUCAAUUUACUGGGCACGUCUUAUAAGGCUCCAAGGCUUGUGGACCUGCGGUCAUGGCCAGGGUUUCCAGGUAUCAGCUGACUAUAAAGUCAAACUGUCACAGAACCAGAAAUCCGGUACAAAUACAGCAGAUCUUAAGAACAUGUUAGGGCAGGAAACUUAGUUGCAUAAGUGAGCAUUCACAGAAUACAAUUCACCCAGCUGGAUUGUGUGGAAGGAGAGAUCUUCUGAGCCAUCAGCGAAAAUAAUUUUUUUCAAGUAGCUAUUUUAAGUCAGCAAUCAUAAUUUUACAAAUGCACAGAAACUAUUCCACAUAUUUCCCCUGUGUGGGCAUCUGCCAGUUCCACUGCAGAAAUAUAAGACUGAAAGAGAUAACUUCAGGUCAUUCAGUCCCAGUGUCUGCUGUUUCAUCCAGCUACAUAAUAGAUUUUCAUAGCAUAAAUGGGAUUUGAUGUGUUUCAAAGGCAGUGAAGCUUUUCUUCCUCUGCUACUUCACACAGAACAACUGCUCCAGAUCAUCAGUUCUCUGAUGGUUAGCAGUGCAGUUACACAGAUUAAUUUACAUUUAUUUUGCUUGGAUAUCUUUUGUGUAGGUAACAAUGCUGCAUAUAUGUGUAUAUAUAUGAGAUAUAUUGUAUAUAUUGAAUAAAUACGCACUCUGGAUAGGGCUUGUUUUGUUUUAUCAGUCUCCACUUGUGAAACCGACUCUCUGCUUCUUGGUCACUCUCAUUUUCUUAUUGCACUUAUUCCCAUUAAUACUUUUGUUCUUAAUAAUAAUAAGCCUAAUAAGUACCGUGUGCAAAAGCAUUGUUACUUCCCCAUGUCUUCUGAAAAAACCUGGGUGAUUUAAAUUUGAGGUUUGUAUUUAACUUUCUCUACCAAAAUCACAUUAAUGAUUCUUGAUCAUCCUUCGAUUAGUUAUUAUUCCAAUGUCUUUCUCCUCUGUCAACUUUCAAUUUAUAACCUUUUGGUUUGUGGCAGAAAUUAUUUCCAGAUGAAUGACUUUGCCAUUUGUACUUUUCAAUUUUUUUUCAUUUGUUUCCUUUUUUCCUCUCCAGGACUGCUCUGAGUUGUUAUGAAGGAGAAGUUGGUGUACAUGGCAGAAUAAACAUAAUAAAUAAAAAAUCAUUCUUGGCCAUAAAAUGUGUUCUAGGAAUCCUGCUAGUAUUCAUGGAAAUGGUGAAUAGUUUUUGUUUUGUUUGAGUGUAUGUACUAUUACAUAGAAUGAGAAUCUUCUGGUUCAAGACUGACACGAGGGAUGGCAACUUGUUUCACAUAUACCUUUUACUGUACAUGUUUUUCAAUCUUGCAAUGCCAAAUUAAUAUUUGAUAUGCCAGUUAUAAUUUGGCAACAUUUAUCACAAAAAACAAUAGAUGUUACCUGUUUGUACAAGGCAAGUGAUUAAUCCUAUGGCUUCCAACAUUAAAUGUAAGAUGGCUUGAGAGAGCCACACAAAUAACCUUCCAAAAUAACAUUUCUUAUAAAUUGUCUAACAGAUGAUAAAUACAGGUUUUGAAAAGUGCAAGAGAGGAAUCCAGAUGGUGGGGUAGUGUAGGAAAGAUCAGUCACUCAUUUUGGUCAAAGAAGGAAUAUAGACACACAUCCCCCACCCUUAAAAAAAAAAAAAAAGUCUGGUGCUUAAUCUGCUUAUAGGGCAGGCUGAUAACUGGAAUGAUGAGGCUGGUAACAAAAGAAAUGUAAUGGGAAAAUGAUCCGCUCAACAUGUAAUUAAUACUAGCAUCUGUCACCAUUUAAUGAAUGCUACACUAAUCAGAAGAUUUUGUCAUGUUAGUAAAAUGUUCAGCUACUUACCCACAAAAGACCAGCUUGGUACAUUCACAAGGCUGCCGUGGUUCUGUGCAAUAUUCCACACAUGAUCUGCUCGUGUAGCAGCCAGGACUCUGUCAAAUAUGCAACUGCAGAAUUGUGUGUUUGGCCAGAGAUCAGCAACUGGCUUCUCUCAAAGACAUGCACAGGACAUGUAGAUGAACAAACAGUGUAAGUAACUGGGCAAACAGUUCUCAUGAAUGUUCUUGUUCUUUACCCCUCAUUGCUCCUAUUGUUUAGUGUUCGCCUCUAUGUCUUCAAUCAGUUUCUGAUUAAAUCAAUACAUUCUGAGCACAGCACAUUAUUUUGGAUACUGAGUACUAUAGUAAUUGCUUAAAAGAUCCUAUAAUUAGUUGUUUCAAUUUUAAAAAUAAAGGGUUUUUUCUGGCCUUUUUAGCUGUAAACAAAAAUUCUGAACCUAUAGCACUUAAAUCUUUAAGAGCCUUUU